AAGCCGGGUUACGGUGCCCAACUGCGCGCUAACCUAGAACCCACAAAGGGUGUUGGUCGAUUAAGACAGCAGGACGGUGGUCAUGGAAGUCGAAAUCCGCUAAGGAGUGUGUAACAACUCACCUGCCGAAUCAACUAGCCCCGAAAAUGGAUGGCGCUGAAGCACGCGACCCACACCCGGCCAUCUGGGCGAGCGCCAUGCCCCUAUG
rnacentral:rRNA from 16 species